UUUAUUGAGAGUUUGAUCCUGGCUCAGGACGAACGCUGGCGGCGUGCCUAACACAUGCAAGUCGAACGGUGUGACGCAAAGCACAGAGUGCUUU
rnacentral:rRNA from 1 species